rnacentral:rRNA from 1 species
GGGAAAUUGCAGUGGCGAACUGAUAUUCUUGAGGCAAGUAGGGGUGCAUGGAACUCUUGGUGGACCGGUGGAAUGCGUAGAUAUCAAGAGGAACGCCGAUGGUGAAGACAGUGCACUGGGCUUGUCCUGACGCUGAGGUGCGAAAGCGUGGGGAGCGAACGGGAUUAGAUACCCCGGUAGUCCACGCCGUAAACGAUGCCUACUAGGUCGUGGUUGUUCUGACACACUCACGGCCGAAGCAAAAGUGUUUAGUAGGCCGCCUGGGGAGUACGGUCGCAAGGCUAAAACUCAAAGGAAUUGACGGGGGCUCACACAAGCGGUGGAGCAUGUGGAUUAAUUCGAAGCAACGCGCAGAACCUUACCUGGGUUUGACAUGUAUGGAUGCCUGCUGUGAAAACAGUUAGGUUGCCUUCGGGUGAAACUUACACAGGUGCUGCAUGGCUGUCGUCAGCUCGUGUCGUGAGAUGUCGGGUUAAGUCCUUUAACGAGCGAAACCCUUGCCGUUAGUUGCCAGCGGGUCAUGCCGGGGACUCUAACGGGACUGCCGGUGUCAAACCGGAGGAAGGUGGGGAUGACGUCAAGUCCUCAUGGCCUUUAUGCCCAGGGCCUCACGCGUGCUACAAUGGGUGCUACAGAGCGACGCGAGACCGCGAGGUGGAGCUAAUCGCAAAAAAGCAUCCUCAGUUCGGAUUGCAGGCUGGCAAUUCGCCUGCAUGAAGUUGGAAUCGCUAGUAAUCGCGUAUCAGCUAUGACGCGGUGAAUGUGUUCCUGAGCAUUGUACACACCGCCCGUCAAGUGAUGGAAG